UAGGGAAUCUUCCGCAAUGGACGAAAGUCUGACGGAGCAACGCCGCGUGAGUGAAGAAGGAUUUCGGUUCGUAAAACUCUGUUGUUAGGGAAGAAAAAAUGUAUAGUAACUAUAUACAAAAGAGACGGUACCUAACCAGAAAGCCACGGCUAACUACGUGCCAGCAGCCGCGGUAAUACGUAGGUGGCAAGCGUUGUCCGGAAUUAUUGGGCGUAAAGCGCGCGCAGGUGGUUUAGAAAGUCUGAUGUGAAAGCCCACGGCUCAACCGUGGAGGGUCAUUGGAAACUAAUAAACUUGAGUGCAGGAGAGAAAAGUGGAAUUCCUAGUGUAGCGGUGAAAUGCGUAGAGAUUAGGAGGAACAACGGUGGCGAAAGCGGCUUUUUGGCCUGCAACUGACACUGAGGCGCGAAAGCGUGGGGAGCAAACAGG
rnacentral:rRNA from 1 species